GAUGAACGCUGGCGGCGUGCCUAAUACAUGCAAGUCGAGCGAACAGAUAAGGAGCUUGCUCCUUUGACGUUAGCGGCGGACGGGUGAGUAACACGUGGGUAACCUACCUAUAAGACUGGAAUAACUCCGGGAAACCGGGGCUAAUGCCGGAUAACAUUUAGAACCGCAUGGUUCUAAAGUGAAUAUGGUUUUUCUAUCACUUAUAGAUGGACCCGCGCCGUAUUAGCUAGUUGGUAAGGUAACGGCUUACCAAGGCAACGAUACGUAGCCGACCUGAGAGGGUGAUCGGCAACACAGGAAGUGAGACACGGUCCAGACUCGUACGGGAGGCAGCAGUAGGGAAUCUUCCGCAAUGGGCGAAAGCGUGACGGAGCAACGCCGCGUGAGUGAGGAAGGGCUUCGGAUCGUAAAACUCUGUUAUUAGGGAAGAACAAAUGUGUAAGUAACUGUGCACGUAUUGACGGUACCUAAGCAGAAAGCCCCGGCUAACUACGU
rnacentral:rRNA from 1 species